rnacentral:tRNA from 1 species
GCCGGUGUAGCUCAGUUGGUAGAGCAACGCACUCGUAACGCGUAGGUCGCCAGUUCGAUUCCGGCCGCCGGCACCA